rnacentral:tRNA from 1 species
GGCGCCGUAGCCAAGUGGUAAGGCAGCGGAUUGCAAAUCCGCGAUCCCCAGUUCGAAUCUGGGCGCCGCCUCCA